AUUAUGACAUCAGUGCUAAGAGCAACUAUAAUUUUGAAAAGCCAUUCUUAUGGUUGGCAAGAAAAUUAGUUGGUGAUUCUAAUCUAGAAUUUGUUGCAAUGCCAGCUUUAGCUCCACCUGAAGUUACUAUGGAUCCAGAAUUGCGAGAAAAACUUGAAAAUGACAUGAAGGAAGCACAAAAUGCCUCACUUCCAGAUGAAGAUGAUGACGAUCUUUGAGAAUGAUAAAUUAUUCUUUAACUUGUUAAAAAUUUAUAAGAGCAAAGUAUAUUCUAGAAAUCUGAUGUUUUUUCUUUUUUGUACAGUAAAUUGAUGUGUGAUUUUAAUUUUCACAAAACAAAUGGAUUGUUUAAAUUUAGAAUGUCUUCAAUCUUAAAUUAGAACUUCACAUAAAUCUUAUUUUUUGGUUAUGUACAGAAAUAAAUUUUGGAGAUAAUUUGUAAAGAAGACACAAAUUUAAUCUUAACCUGUCAGUAUAGUUUGAAAAUAUCAAUCUCUACAUUUAAUGCCUUUAAUUAAAAUAUGCAAAUCUAAAAAUUGUCUAAAUUUCCCUUGUAAAGCUUAUCAAAACAUUAAUAUGUGCUACACUGCAUAGGUUUAUAUUUAAGAAGAAAAACUCAAUAGUAAACUGUUUUAAAUUUGUCAAAUAUCAGAAUUGAAUGAGAAAAUAAAUGGUUUAGUAUGGCUGAUUUUUUUGUGUUAGUUUGUAUGUUAAUUCAGAAGAGAAACAAUUUCAUUGAAACAGAUUAUAUGUGUAUGUAUAUAAAUAUAUAUAAAUACAUUAGAUUUGUGAAUUUUAAUCUAAAUAUUCACAAAGUUUUCCUAACACUAAAAGUAAAAAUAAGCAUUUUCUAAUUAGAUCUUUUCAAUUAAGUAUUCUAUAAACUUGUAAUAUGUUAUAUAUGGUAAUUAUCUUUGUUGUUUACUAAUAUAAAUGCUUUAUUUAAAAAUACAAAUGCUUUUAUUUCAACAAAAAUUUUAAGAAAUUUAAUUUUAGAAACAUAAAUUCCAGUUGAGAAAAGAUAAUAGUAGAUAAUUUUUCCAUCUCUAAAUCUUUUCUUUUCAUGUGUAUGUGCACAUUUGUAUGAUUGGUAGUUUUAUAUAUCUGAUGUUUGUAUUUAUGGGUUCUAAAUACUGUUAAUUCAUUGCAUUGCUGCUGUUUUUAAGAGUGAAAUUGUAUGAAAUGUAUAAAUUCAAAUAUUUUUCAAUAAAAUUUAAAUUAAUA